rnacentral:lncRNA from 1 species
UAUGACCAGUGUUCUUGGCCAGCUCUCAAUGCUGUUAUUUAUCCAACAUUGAAAGGAAAAAGAAUUACCUCCCCACCCCAAUAGUUAGACACUCAGGAACUUACCAAAGCUAAGCCAUUUGCACCUAUGCUACAGCAGAACACGGACACAGGAACCAUACUCCUAACAAGUAAGUCAGAAUUAAGAUACUUGGGCCCUAACCAUACUAUUGUGAUCACUACUGUGCUGUGUUACUGACUGUAUGCAUCUACUGGAUACCCUUUUUGUUACUAGAUUGGAGCUAGCUUCCUCAAGUUGGGUGGAUCAACACAUAGGAGUGAGAGAAAACCAUCUUAAAGACUACCGGCAACAGGCAACAGGCACUCUUCAGGUCAAGGGAACUUCUUCAGAUCAAGGGAUAUGAUCCUUCUGCUCUACUCAGCACUCGUGUGACUUCACCCAAAGUACUGCAUCAAGUUUUGGGCUCCAAAUUUCAAGAAGCAUACGGACAGACUGGAAAGAGUCCAGCAGAGUGCGACAAAAAAUUAAGGAAGGCUACUGUGAUACCCAAAAGUCUGCCUGUGUAUAUACCAACCACAAAGUUGAUAUGUAGUUGGUCCAAUAAAA